rnacentral:rRNA from 1 species
GCUAAAGAUUGUCCGUGGCUUAGGGAAACCGAUAAGUAUCCCACCUGGGGAGUACGCCGGCAACGGUGAAACUCAAAGGAAUUGACGGGGGCCCGCACAAGUGGUGGAGCAUGUGGUUUAAUUCGAUGAUACGCGAGGAACCUUACCUAGGCUAGAAUGCGCGUGACCGGCUCAGAGAUGAGCUUUUCCUUCGGGACACAAAGCAAGGUGCUGCAUGGCCGUCGUCAGCUCGUGCCGUGAGGUGUUGGGUUAAGUCCCGCAACGAGCGCAACCCCUAUGGUUAGUUGCCAGCACGUAAUGGUGGGGACUCUAGCCAGACUGCCUGCGCAAGCAGUGAGGAAGGCGGGGACGACGUCAGGUCAUCAUGGCCCUUACGCCUAGGGCGACACACGUGCUACAAUGGACGGUACAGCGGGUAGCUACUGGGCGACCAGAUGCCAAUCUCGAAAAGCCGUUCUCAGUUCGGAUCGGAGUCUGCAACUCGACUCCGUGAAGCUGGAAUCACUAGUAAUCGCGCAUCAGCCAUGGCGCGGUGAAUACGUUCCCGGGCCUUGUACACACCGCCCGUCAAGCCAUGAAAGUCUGGUAGACCUGAAGCUGGUGCUCGUCACAGAAGCCAGUUAGGGUAGAACAG